CCGGAGCACGUGACCGGUUCUCACCAACCCCGCCCCUCCCCAAGAGAGCCCGGGCCGGAAGGUGGCCGCAAUGCCAGCUUGGACCCCUCACCCCUGAGCAGCCGGCUGUCCGCCGGACCCCUGUCCCGGGAGCCCUGCAGGGAGUCAGGCACUGCGGGGCCCAGCCUGUCCCAUCCCCCGGGUCUCCCUCACAUCGAGGAGCAAGACGGGCCUGGGAACACGGGGCCGGGACUGUGCGGCCAUCGUCCCGGACCCUGUCUGCCCUGUCCGUCCUUGGGGGAGCGCCCAGGACAGACCCCGGGGGGCAGGCCUCUAACUGGGCUCAGCAGCCUCCGUCCCUGUCCUGGUCGCCCAGCUGGUGGGGUAGCUGGAACUGCAUGUCUGGUGGGCGUGGCCUCGCGCCAGCCAAGGUCUCCCAGGCGCCAGGUCCAGCCAAGGUGGACGGGAGGGCCCAGCGGGACCCGGGGCCGGAUCUCACUCCUGGGUUCAACGGGUUCUGUCCCUGUCCUAGUCGCCCCGCCUGGUGGGGGAGCUGGAGCUGCGUGUGGGGUGGGUUGCGGGUGGCCUCCCACCAGCCAGGGGCUCCCGGGCUCUAGGCCUGGCCCAGGUGGACAGGCGGGACCUGCUGGACCUGAGGCUGGGUCGGGCCUGGCUCCUGGGUUCGGCAGUAUCAGUCCCUGCCCUGGUCGCUCUUGCCUGGUAGGGAGCUGGGAGGUGACCCUGUGUCUGCUGGGUGCUGGCUUACUUCUGUGUCUGGAAGGGGGUCAGAUCCACAGGAAAGGUGCUGCGAGAGGCGGGCAGGGGUGGGGGUGGCAUGGCCCUAGGAGCUGGGUGUCUGUCCCCACGCCCUGUUCACAAGUCUGUGGGGCGAGAGGCUGCAAUACUCCAUCCCGGGUGUCUGGGCUGCUCACCAGGCCGGCUCAGGCUUCCCACAUCCUGUACCCUGGGUUGGGCAUGAAACCGAUCCAAUCGUCCCAUAGGCUGUUCUUUUUGAUACACAUAGAAACUGACCCUUCUGGUCUUCAAGCUUGAACCUUACAGUUGUUUUAUCUGAAUUCCUUCCUCAGGAAAUGACCUUCGGGCCUCUCAAAAUAUCAAAGAACUGAAACUCACCAGAUAACCACAUCCAGACAAUGAGAUGCUGGACCCCCCAAAUUCAUCAGGAUUGCUUUCUGGGCCCUCCCGAGUUCCUGUUUUCCUACACAUUGGUGCAUUUCUUCCUGGCUAUAUAAACCCCUAGUUUUAGUCAGGGGGAUGGAUUUGAGACUUAACUCCCAUCUCCCCGGCUGCAGCACCCAAUUAAAGCCGUCUUCCCUGGCACACCCCCAGGAAGGGACCCCGGACACGGCUACCACCUCUAGGCUUAAAGCGAAUGCACUUCCCGCAUCUCCAGUCUUCCGUGUAGCAGCUUUAACCUAUGUAUGUCUGUGCCACAUCCAGUCCUCAGACGGCUGAGUGACCCCAAGAAAGGCUUCCCCGACACCCAGACAGAGGCUGCAGGGCUGGGGCUGGGUGAGGGUGGCGGGCCUGCGGGGACAUUCUACUGUGCUAAAAAGCCACUGCAGACAUAGCAAUAAAAACAUGUCAUUUUCCAAAGCAGG
rnacentral:lncRNA from 1 species